rnacentral:rRNA from 1 species
UGAAUACGAGACGCUAAGGCGUCGAAGUAGUGUAUGUCAUACUUCCAAGAAAAGCUUGCACUGUCAUAGAUAAAAAACGCCUGUACCAUAACCGACACAGGUGGGUAGGUAGAGUAUACUAAGGGGCGCGAGAUAACUCUCUCUAAGGAACUCGGCAAAAUAACUCCGUAACUUCGGGAGAAGGAGUGCCUUAUUCGUAAGGUUGCAAUAACAAGAUCCAAGCAACUGUUUAUCAAAAACACAGGUCUCCGCUAAGUCGUAAGACGAUGUAUGGGGGCUGACGCCUGCCCAGUGCCAGAAGGUUAAAGAAGUUGGUUAGCAAUUGCGAAGCUGAUAACUGAAGCCCUGGUGAACGGCGGCCGUAACUAUAACGGUCCUAAGGUAGCGAAAUUCCUUGUCGGGUAAGUUCCGACCCGCACGAAAGGCGUAAUGAUUUGGAUACUGUCUCGGAGAGGGGCUCGGUGAAAUAGACUUGUCUGUGAAGAUGCGGACUACCUGCACCAGGACAGAAAGACCCUAUGAAGCUUUACUGUAACUUGAAAUUGAAAUUGGACUUUAUUCGCGCAGUAUAGGUGGGAGGCGUUGAUUAUAAUCUUGUGGGAUUAUUGGAGCCAUCAGUGAGAUACCACUCUUGUAAUGUUAGAUUUCUAACUUUGAAUCAUUAUCUGGUCAAAGAACAGUUUCAGGCGGGCAGUUUGACUGGGGCGGUCGCCUCCUAAACGGUAACGGAGGCGUACAAAGGUUUCCUCUGAACGGUUAGAAAUCGUAUCUAGAGUGUAAAGGCAUAAGGAAGCUUGACUGUGAGACCUACAAGUCGAGCAGGGACGAAAGUCGGUCUUAGUGAUCUGACGGUACUGAGUGGAAAGGCCGUCACUCAACGGAUAAAAGUUACUCUUAGGAUAACAGGCUGAUCUCCCCCAAGAGUUCACAUCGACGGGGAGGUUUGGCACCUCGAUGUCGGCUCAUCGCAUCCUGGGGCGGUAGUACGUCCCAAGGGUUGGGCUGUUCGCCCAUGAAAGCGGUACGCGAGCUGGGUUCAGAACGUCGUGAGACAGUUCGGUCCAUAUCCGGUGUAGGCGUUAGAAUAUUGAGAGGAGCCUUCUUUAGUACGAGAGGACCGAGAAGGACAUACCUCUGGUGUACCAGUUAUCGUGCCAACGGUAAACGCUGGGUAGCUAUGUAUGGAGUGGAUAACCGCUGAAAGCAUCUAAGUGGGAAGCCCACCUCAAGAUAAGUAUUCUCAC